rnacentral:lncRNA from 1 species
AGAAAUUCCCGCACCCGGAGGCGUCCUUCAGCUUGCCCCUAAACAAAUAUAUACUAGUCCAGUGAUAAUGAACGCCAUACUAAUUUCCAAAUUGUACACAAGAAACUAAAUUUAAAAUAAUACAAGACUAACAAAGGCCAGAGGCUCCUGACUUGGGACAGGCGCAAAAAUGCGGCGGGGUUAAACAUGUUUGUGAGAUCUCAACCCUCCCCCUAUACCUCUAACCAAUGUAGAAAAGUAAACGCAUAACAAU